UAAGGGGCAUUUCAGUAUUUUCACAUAUCAGUCCCCUUGUCUAUCCCCAGGCCCCUCUCGUAUCUCGUCUCUUUAUUUUCCUUGCACACGCAAAAACGCACACACAAAUAGACAAGGGAGAAGGAAAAAUUAUCGCCCUAAUUCGACUCGACUCGACUCUUCGCCCAAUUAAUUUGUUUAUCGAAAUAAAAUAUUUUGUAUUCUAUUUCAUAUUGUGUUUUUUGGUUACUUAAAUCUUAUUUUUGUUUGUGUUGUGAUGAAAUUAGGGUUUCGUAUCUCCACACCUUCGUCGUAGUGUGUGGGUUUUUUAAUUGAAGUUCCUACGCUGCGAAUCGUGUCGUAUCGUAUCGUAAUCUGUGAGUAUAAACUCAAAUGUUAUUUCUUUGUUGUUUCAUUUAUUAUUCUUUUGAUUUGGUUUUCCAUUUAUGCGUAGAAUUGUUGAAAAAAAAUAAAAUAAAUCAUUUUUUACAAAAAAUAGAAUUCGCUUGGGAUUAUUGUGUGUAAUAAAGUUAUUUUCUGGGUUAAAUUUUUGACACGGAGAAUGCCCAUCUUUCUUUUAGCAAGCUGUAUCCUUUCUCUGCUUUUGGGAUUAGAGUGGUGUUCUUGAAGCCUAGUGAAAUUAUCUCUGGCUGAUGGGUUGACAGAUCAUCUAAAUUUUGGGGUGGUGAUUAGAAAAAUAAUUGCAAUUUUUUGGGCGAAGAGGGGGG
rnacentral:lncRNA from 1 species